rnacentral:ncRNA from 2 species
UCAAUUAUGUAUGAUUUAGGUGCUCCGAUUUCAAAUCGGAGAUAAUAGGAAACCGUGUGAAAAUCACGGGCUGUCGCGCAACUGUAAUCUCGUCUCAAUUCGUUGAGAAAGCGCUUCUGAUAAAUUUAUACCACUGUUCUAAAAAAGAAUGGGAAGGUAAUCAGAAGUCGGGAAAGUCAGGAAACCUGCCAAAUUUAUUUGAUGACU